ensembl:lncRNA
UUAUUUUAUAGGGGAGGCCCCUGAGACCAGAGGGAGGGAGCCAGAACUCCAGAGCUCGGCUUUAUUUCACCUCCAUAUGGCCAGGUCUGUGCCAGGCUCCCAGGGACCAGUUUCAGCUGCCUGCAGGGAGUUACCGUCAACAUCCCAAAUUCCAGCAUCAAACUGAAUUCGCACUCUGUUCCCACCAUACCUGCCAUCCUGGGGUCAGCGCUGGCCUCUGGAGAUCCCGCAUCUGGCCUUCAGGCCUGAGGUUGUGCUUCCGAAUCGUGAUUGGAGGUGGAACCAGCUCGUGACUGUCAUCAACAUCAGAAGUUCCUAAUAGGCGGAGACCAUCUGAGAUCACAGGAAUAUCCUCUCUGAAAAUGUCAGCCUGAGAGAAAGGGGGAUGGAAAUUCAAAGAAUCUCUCCAGGACCAACCCCCAAGGGGAUGGAAAAGCAGAGGUGAAAAUUUAAGGGCAUGUUAAAGUAACUUGAAGUCAAACGAC